GGGCCCGGCCGGGGACCGGAGCACCCCACUUUCGCAGGCGCCAGACCCCUCGACGCUGCGCAGAGGGAGACCCUGUCCUGGGAGCGCAGCAGUUUCAACACUAAUUAUAUGUUAAAAGGCCAGAGUCUCCUUUCUCUAGCCGCAGCCCAGUGACCGAGGGGGAGAAAAGUGCAGCGAGAUAAAAGGAACAUGGGACUAAUUUUCCUCACACCUCAGUUUCAAGAUUCAACAUUUCCCUCAUAAAUAAUUUACAACAAUAAAAAUGAGCUAGGGCCACGUUCGUGUAGGACGGAGGAUAGCGGAUGUGGAGAUUUCCCAGCACUGGAGGACGGAACCAACCUGCAAGUCAGUCAGAUCCAGUGACUGUCAGUCCACAGGGAAGCAUGAGCUACAAAGCUGGAGUGCUGGGCUCCUGGCCUGUGGCUUUCUCACAUUUCAGCGUGGACAAGCGCCACCUCUAGCCAGAAGUGUGUCAACUAAACCGAACAUGCCCACAGGAUGUCCCCACCAGGGGAGGUAGUGUCCCACACACCCUGCGGUUGCUGUGCCUCCCAGCAGCUGCAGAGAGGGCUCGACAUGGGCAAGCCCGCUGCAAACAGCGCAGGUGACACAGGGAAACCACAACUCCCAAGGGCAGCCCAGCGAGCAGAAGGUCACAGAGAGCUCAGGGGGCCUGUGAAGCUCAGCCAGGGAGGGCCUCAGCGAGGCUGAGAACAGCGUGGGGAGAGGCAGCUCAUUUGAGGCACCCAGGCCUCCUCUCCCACAGCCCAAAGAGCAAAGGAGACUCUGCUCACUCAACUGCAGCCAACUAAAUACAGAGUUCUCAGCCCCCCACAUGCAGUCGUGUAGU